rnacentral:misc_RNA from 1 species
GAUGAAGAACGCAGCGAAAUGCGAUAAGUAAUGUGAAUUGCAGAAUUCAGUGAAUCAUCGAAUCUUUGAACGCACAUUGCGCCCGCCAGUAUUCUGGCGAGCAUGCCUGUUCGAGCGUCAUUUCAACCAUCAAGCCCCAGGCUUGUGUUGGGGCCCUGCGGCUGCCGCAGCCUCCCAAAACCAGUGGCGGGCUCGCUAUCACACCGAGUGCAGUAGUUUACUCUUCGCUCAGGGCGUGUGGCGGGUGCUAGCCGUGAAACCCCCAACUUCUCAAGGUUGACCUCGGAUCAGGUAGGAAUACCCGCUGAACUUAAGCAUAUCAAUAAGCGGAGGA